GUACAAUAGAGCUUAUAGGCUAAUGAGAAGACAGGAAGAAACAACAGGAACACAUAUAGCUGGAAUGCAGAUGGGAUCUGUGCUACUUACGCUAGCCAUGGGAUGAUUAGAACAAGAUAAGAGACAUGAGGAAGACUUCUUCAAGGAGGUGCUCAAGCCAUGUUUUGGAAAAGAGAACUCAAGGUCUGGCAGGGAGAAAGGAGCAAGACUGCCUGGCAGCUCUUUAGAAAGUUGUGUGACGUAUGAACCAGUUCUUCCCUAUAUGAGAGUGUACCGUACAUCGCAGGCUGUCCAGCAUCGACCCCACUGAUGGAUGCUAGUAGUCCUCCCCGCCAGCACUCAACAUUGUGACAGUCAAAAACAUCCUCUCUACAUUUUCAAUGCCCCUGUUGGGGUAGCAGGACUCCCACUGAGAGACCCCAGUAGAGAUGGUAAGUGGAGGCAGAGCAGCACCUCUCACACUUCCAUGUGCCCUUGAAUGCCCCCACGGAUCUUGCUAACAUGCAGAUUUAGGAUGUCUGGGGUGGAGCCUGAGAAUCUGCAUUUCUACCAGCUGUUCUUGGACCCAGGCUGGCGAGAUCAGAGGAAGAAGAAAUGACCUUGGGUUUAGGUAGCAAAGACUUCACAGAAAAGAAGGGAACAUAAACAAGGUUUUGAAGAAUACAUGGAGGUGGAGCUGAUGACAUCCCACGAGGUGCAGGCUGCUGGGAGGCAGGCACACUGGACCAGCGGAGAGGGAUCCGUCCCCAAGCAUGCUAACCAUGAAGCAGUGAUAUCGCACAGCACCUGCUUCCAGCAGCCCGGAGCCAAGGGGCAAAAUGGAAAGAGUCAGCAUUUCUCUUUUAGGUUCUCUGCCUCUCUAGUGUGAAGACUGAAGAAACCUAAUCCUAGGUGCUGCCACUGGGACAAACAAGAAGCACCAGACACAGUGCUGUUUUAGGGUGGGGCAGAAUUAUGCUGAGGGAAAAGUUAUUAUCACUCUUUAAGGCCAAGGAAACCACAAUUUUUAAAGAAGCUUCUAGAAAUUCUACCCAGUAGAAAAUAAAGAUAAACUUCUGUAAGGAA
rnacentral:lncRNA from 1 species